rnacentral:tRNA from 1 species
AAGGAAUUACGUUAAAUUAGACGAUUUGUUUUCAAAACAAAAAGUGUAUAACAUAUACAUUCCUUG